rnacentral:rRNA from 1 species
UACGGGGGGGGCAAGCGUUGUUCGGAAUUACUGGGCGUAAAGGGCUCGUAGGUGGCCAACUAAGUCAGACGUGAAAUCCCUCGGCUUAACCGGGGAACUGCCUUUGAUACUGAAGAUCUUGAGUUCGGGAGAGGUGAGUGGAACUGCGAGUGUAGAGGUGAAAUGCUUAGAUAUGACAUAGAACACCAAUUGCGAAGGCAGCUGGCUACACGAAUAUUGACACUGAGGCACGAAAGCGUGGGGAUCAAACAGG